AAACCUGGGCUAAACAAAUGCUAGUUAAAAAUCAAUCUUGUUGCAUGAGUGAACAUCAUUGCUAAACUUCUUCUCUUUUUUCUAUAUGAUGUAUUUUUACAUACCCAAAAGAAUUCCAAGCAACAGUAUUCCAAAGAGGGACACACUGUGCCCUGUUUGAUGCAGUUCUUCUACAUACAACUCCUGGCAGCUACCCUCCUCCUUUCUACAACAUGGCCGUGGGCUCUCUCGGCCAGUAUAAAGGAAGCCCUGGAAGGUGCCGGCUCUUUCCCUAAGGAGCUGUAUAAUAGACAAUCUACGCUCCUUAAGGUUUUGAGCACAGCUGUACAAUCCAGUUUCCUCAGCUCGUGGGAUCAAGAAGUCAAGAGACUCAAUAAUCGUAGUGGCACUUGUGUGUGCAUACAGUGCAGUGGUCAUUCCUCAUGACCCAGCAAAGCUUAGCUGUGGGGGCACACCAGCAGUUGUACUCAUGACAAUUCUCCUGACAGACAGAGCAGUUACUCCUGGUUGUGAGCAGACGAUACAGUGGAGGUGGACCUUGCCUGAUUACUUUACUCUUCUGGAUUAAAUCAUGUACAGUCAAUGAUGUCUCCUGACAUCUGUUAAACCCAAUAAAGAGAUACAUAAUUGUGUUAUAUACAAACCCAUUUUUGGGGACAAAAACAGUAAGAAAAAUGUAAAUAAAACCGGACAGCAAUGAUUUUCAAAUCUUUUUAACUAUGUUUGAUUGUUUGAAAACAAUGCAAAGACAAUACAUUUAAUGAAUUCAAUUUGUUCUUUCCGUGUCUGUGUGAGUUUCCUCCGGGUGCUCCGGUUUCCUCCCACAGUCCAAAGACGUGCAAGUGAGGUGGAUUGGAGAUACUAAAUUGUCCACGAAUGUGUUUGAUAUAAACUUGUGAACUGAUUAAUUUUGUUUAAUAAGUAACUACCAUUUCUGUCAUGAAUGUAACCAAAGUGUGU